rnacentral:rRNA from 1 species
CCUACGGGUGGUAGCAGUCGAGAAUCAUUCACAAUGGGGGAAACCCUGAUGGUGCGACGCCGCGUGGGGGAAUGAAGGUCUUCGGAUUUUAAACCCCUGUCAUGUGGGAGCAAAUUAAAAAGAUAGUACCACAAGAGCAAGCGACGGCUAACUCUGUGCCAGCAGCCGCGGUAAUACAGAGGUCUCAAGCGUUGUUAGGAAUCACUGGGCGUAACGCGAGCGUAGGCUGUUUCGUAAGUCGUGUGUGAAAGGCGGGGGCUCAACCCGCGGACGGACCAUGAAACGGUGAGACUAGAGUAAAGGAGGGGGAACGGGAAUUCUCGGUGUAGCAGUGAAAUGCGUAGAUAUCGAGAGGAACACUCGUGGCGAAGGCGGGUUCCUGGACAUUAACUGACGCUGAGGCACGAAGGCCAGGGGAGCGAAAGGGAUUAGAUACCCCAGUAGUC